rnacentral:rRNA from 1 species
CCUACGGGUGGCAGCAGUCGAGAAUUUUUCUCAAUGGGGGAAACCCUGAAGGAGCGACGCCGCGUGGAGGAUGAAGGCUUUCGGGUUGUAAACUCCUGUCAUUUGGGAACUAGUACCAGAAGAGGAAGAGACGGCUAACUCUGUGCCAGCAGCCGCGGUAAUACAGAGGUCUCAAGCGUUGUUCGGAUUCAUUGGGCGUAAAGGGUGCGUAGGUGGCGCGGUAAGUCGGGUGUGAAAUCUCGGAGCUUAACUCCGAAAUUGCAUUCGAUACUGCCGUGCUUGAGGACUGGAGAGGAGACUGGAAUUCAUGGUGUAGCAGUGAAAUGCGUAGAGAUCAUGAGGAAGACCAGUGGCGAAGGCGGGUCUCUGGACAGUCCUGACACUGAGGCACGAAGGCCAGGGGAGCAAACGGGAUUAGAUACCCUAGUAGUC